UACAGAGGGUGCAAGCGUUGUUCGGAAUUAUUGGGCGUAAAGGGUGCGUAGGCGGUGCGGUAAGUCUGUAGUGAAAUCUCUGGGCUCAACUCAGAGUCUGCUAUAGAAACUGCCGUGCUUGAGUGUGGGAGAGGUGAGUGGAAUUCCCGGGUGUAGCGGUGAAAUGCGUAGAUAUCGGGAGGAACACCAGUGGCGAAGGGCGACUUCCUGGCCUGUUCUUGACGCUGAGGCGCGAAAAGCUAGGGGAGCAAACGGGG
rnacentral:rRNA from 1 species